rnacentral:rRNA from 1 species
AAUCAACGCUGGCGGCGUGCCUAACACAUGCAAGUCGAGCGGGAAAGGGGGCUUCGGCCCCUGAGUAUAGCGGCGGACGGGUGAGUAACACGUGGGUAAUUUGCCCUUGGGUGUGGAAUAACUCAGGGAAACUUGAGCUAAUACCGCAUGACAUCCCCUUCACACACGAGUCGGGGAUCAAAGCCGGGGACCCUUCGGGGCCUGGCGCCUGAGGAGAAGCCCGCGCCCGAUUAGCUAGUUGGNGAGGU